ensembl:lncRNA
GCGAAAAACGCCGUUUUUUGGAGUUACAAAACGUCGUGUAACUCAAAAACUAGGAGGGCUAGCAGCAUAAUUCUUGUACUGGGUGAAUCAGCGGACUUUGGUGUACUUUGACUGCGAUUUUCAGUGCUCUAUGUACCUCCGUCGCGGAGAUAUGACGAGAGAAGAAACGGCUUCAUUUUCGGAGUUUGUAAACUAAGACGAGGACAGAUUUCCACCCCUCAAACAAACAUUCCCCGGACCCGUCCCCGUGUUUCCCCGCGUGGAGUGUGGAAGGAGUGACUGGUCGCUAACGGAGAAGAGAGAGGUUGAACUGAGCGCGUGUAUGAUUUCCCCGUUUUCCCUGGAGCCCUGGACCCCUGCCCCUCACGUCUUGUAUAUAGCACUAACCCCGCACUGUCUGUACACACACUUGGUGAAGAUCUGUAAAUAAACUGUCUCUGUUUAAACGCUACUCAGGAGUCCUGCGAGUGGAUCCUCUAAGCAACCCGUGACACCUGGUCUCUGUGACAUCAUCGAUGCAUUUUGGGAUGUUGGCAAUAACAGUUUCUGUAUAUUCCUGAAAGUCUGUGGUGUUGUCGUGUGUGGCAGCCUGUGGUGGAAAAGCAGUCUUGCAGUGCCUCUGAGGACCCUUCUAGCCUCACCUGUACCUGCUUACGAACUGGUUUGGUGACUUUGACCAGGGGCCUGUGGGAACCCAUGGCACACCUAGGUUUCUGCCUGUAGUACUGACCCUUAUGCAAAAUAGGU